UCAAUAUGCAGUAAGCUUUGUGAUGGCA
rnacentral:sRNA from 1 species